rnacentral:rRNA from 1 species
GGAAUAUUGGACAAUGGGCGCAAGCCUGAUCCAGCCAUGCCGCGUGAGUGAUGAAGGCCUUAGGGUUGUAAAGCUCUUUCACCGAUGAAGAUAAUGACGGUAGUCGGAGAAGAAGCCCCGGCUAACUUCGUGCCAGCAGCCGCGGUAAUACGAAGGGGGCUAGCGUUGUUCGGAAUUACUGGGCGUAAAGCGCACGUAGGCGGAUAUUUAAGUCAGGGGUGAAAUCCCGCAGCUCAACUGCGGAACUGCCUUUGAUACUGGGUAUCUUGAGUAUGGAAGAGGUAAGUGGAAUUCCGAGUGUAGAGGUGAAAUUCGUAGAUAUUCGGAGGAACACCAGUGGCGAAGGCGGCUUACUGGUCCAUUACUGACGCUGAGGUGCGAAAGCGUGGGGAGCAAACAGGAUUAGAUACCCGAG